AAUGUCGUAACAAGGUUUCCGUAGGUGAACCUGCGGAAGGAUCAUUACCAGGCCUUGGGGCCGCCAGCGGGGGCUCCCGUCGUUCUCGCGACGACGGGCCCCAUCGCGGGUGCUUAGCCCCAUGACUCUUACCUUGACUAUGCGCACCUUUGUUGUUCCCAUCGGCAGGUCUCCUGCCGCUAGGGUACCCCAAUCAACCCUUUGAGCAUAAGCAUAAAACCGUCUGAAAACCAAAGUUUAACUUAUUUAC
rnacentral:misc_RNA from 1 species